rnacentral:rRNA from 1 species
AAGCGCUUGCAACCAGACCUGCGGGCGGGCGAUCAUCCGGUGUUCGCACCGGUGCACUCGGCCGCGCGCAGGCCAGCAUCGGUCUGGGUGGCUAGACAAAGGCCUCGGGAAUGUGGCUCCCCCCGGGGAGUGUUAUAGCCCAAGGCGCCAUGUAGCCCACCCGGACCGAGGACCGCGCCCCGGCUAGGAUGCUGGCGUAAUGGUUGUAAGCGA